CUCGGCCCAGUAGCGGCCCAUAUUGCCAGCCCGUCUCUCUCCUGAGCGCCACAAGUUUUCACGUAACAUUUCUAAAAUCGCUAAAAAAACGUACAAAGAUGCUGGUGACGCAGGUCAUCCGAGCACUUACCAAUUUCCUACUCCCUCCGUCCGGAAAAAGUUGUCCUCACCUUAGUUCAUUUGUAAGUUUGCGAAAAAACCCCUCCACCUUUAAAACUGUUGCUAAUCGGCCCCCUGCUUCUUCCUCCUUCCUCCGUCACCCGCCCGCACCGUGGUCGCCCCAGCCACCGCCGGCGGCCGGCACCAGCCGUCGGGCCCAGAGCUCGACGACGGACAACCUGCACCGGCCACACCGGAGGCUGCUCAAGCUCCUGCUGCUCCGUGGUCAUCGGGAAGAACUGGAGCGAGGCCCUGGCCCCCGAUCCGGCCCCCGCCAGCGAGGCCCUGGCCACGCUCUCCCUCGGCGCCGCUGACCUGCCCGCGGAGUUCUCCGCCGCCGGACACGAGAUCGCCGGGGAGGACGAGUACGAGGGGUACGUGACAGCCGCGUCCAGAGGCGGGAGCAGCACGGCUCGAGGAGGAGGAGGACGGCUACGGCGACGCCGGUCCGCCCAGCCUCAGCAGCAGCGGCUACGCCGGCGAGCAGCGGGAACAGCGUCACCUCCAGUACCAGCGCCGCCUGCCGCAUCGAGGAGCCCGACCCCGCCCCGCCCCUCCGGCGCCGAGGCUGGGCGUGCGGCAAGAAGCACGCCGACGAGGUCCUGCUCCUUGUGCUGCCGCCAGAGCCCAUAGCUCGUGUUCCUCAGGAAGAAGAAGAAGACUGUGACUUGUGAGAGGCCGUCAGGAUUCCACUCUAAAUUCGGACUACAUCAACAGCAACCACUUGACCAGGAUUUGGAGUAGUGCAUUGCAAAUCGAACUUGUGCUGCUGCUCCAACGUCGGUUCAGUACAGAAAUAUGUUGUGUUAGAUUGAAGAUUGUCGAUCUUCCUUGUUUAAUUCCUCAAGCCACAGAAUAAGACUAGUCCACACAUACACAAAUUUGACAAAAUUCAGAGCGCAUCAGCAUUGCACUGCAC